GGGAGAUGACAAUUUUAAACAGUCCACUCCCAGCGCCGAGCCGGCACCGCGAGGCGGGGGAGCUGCCGCUCCGGGGACGAUCCCCGGGUGUGUGUCAGCCCCGCGUUACACCCCCGCCUCUGCUUAACCCUUCGGGGAACGGCGGCGCGGGGGCUGCGGGGCCGGGCCGGGCCCAGGGCCGUACGGCGGAGUGCACUUUGACCCGUUGUGCAACCGCCGGUGAGGAAGUAAAUAAAGCGCAGAUCCAACCCGCUGUCUUUUGCCGGCUGCUCUUUCUAAAGGUUAUGAUGCUGUGAAGUAGUUGCCUGUUGCUUAAAAGAAUUAGGCUGUGUAGACCAUGGCACAGGGACUGUCUCAGGAUACAAGUGCUAAUGCAAUUCUCUAUUUUCAAAAACCUGGAGUCAGCUGAGAAUUCUUCACAAGACCAUCCAGCAGAGAUGACAGCAAUAUGGAUUACUGUAAUAAGGGAUGUAUCAGAAGAGUCUGCAGUCUGGAGAUGGCUUGGGGGAAGAAGGGUAGUUGCUUUGGGGUGUCUAUAUGCAGCUCCUUCGAGUCUUAACUGCCCAGUCGCAACUCUGAACACCCAUCAAUAAAGGAUGAAAACCUGAUAAUGAUAGUUUCGAUUGGUAAUUUUUUUGCUCCCCUUCUCUGCUUCUUUUUCUGUUCCCUGCCCAGCCUCUGGUAAUUUAAAAUGGUGAAGCUUACUUGGAAUUGGUGGCAAAUGCAGUCUUAGGACAGACGAGCAUAUGGAGAUAAAUAAAACAACUUUAGCACCUCUUCGCAGUCUCUGCACUUCACUGUCUUUGCCUUGGAAACCUGAGAUAUUGUUAAAGUCUUGGUGUUAAAAUCUGGCCAUGUACAUCAGCCAUCCAUUGGUGAAUCUCUGAAUAAGCCUAAGGCUCCUACUAGCCAGGGGUUAAUAAUUCAAAAUUAAGCUUGGUAUGUUCCAGGAAUAUGCCUUAACCCUCACAUUGUAAAAGAAGAAGAGAUGAACAGUAGAUUUUGACAGAAACUCUACAGUUCCUUUUACUGUAACCAUACCCACCUACGUUCCUAUUUCCACCUAAGGAUGGUGUCUGCCCUGGUGGGUACCAGUCCACUUCUGCAGCUACAAAUGUACCAACCCUUCAACUGCAAUUUGGUGUCAGAGACAUCUAAUACAAGGCUGCUGUGGAAGAGAGAUGCUGAAACCACCCAUUGGAUUGUUUGUAUAUGCAUAACAGCCAUUGGAACUUUGUCAGUGAAGCAGAAAAUUCUUUUUUUCAUAAAAGAUGCCAGUAUUGCUUGUACGGAUAUGUGACAAGGGAUUUCCUCCUUUUAAAGAUACCUGGUUGCUGGGAAAUACACAGAAACAAUCUUUUAAAGAAAAACCACUGAUGAGCUAGGUUUCGAAAAGAAAAGUUAGCUGAACACUCAAACGCCUUGGGAAUCUUCCCUAGUUUUUAUAGGACAGUUUAAAGACUGAAUCCCUAAUAAAUGCUGUAUGCAAUUCAUAUGGGAGUUAUUUAAGUAUGGCAGUACUGAGACCUCCCAGAGUCCAUGCAGUUCAGCAUUUUGUGCCCAAAAGAGGACGUCCAGGGAAUGUAUGGUAGGAUAAAGGAUCAUUGUUUAAAAGCCUCCCAGGCUUUACAGUAUAAAAGAGUUGUGGAAAACUGUUUUUCCUUCCCAACUGCUCUUAAUCUAACUUGUCAUGCUUGCUACUGCUUGCCAAGAUUGGAAGUAUCAAUAUCCAGACUCAUCUGUAAGGGAAGAAUGGAGGAACUUUACUAAGAUAAAGAACUCCUACAAGACAAUGGAAGUUUCCAAUGACACAUCCCAGCAGCUAGAUUUUUUUUCAAAGCAAAUAUUCUGAAUGGAGAUUACUAGCAAAUGUCCAGAAUGUCUGUUGAAGAGACAAGAAGCAGACAUGUCAAUAAAGACUUGUGUUUUAUUUGUUAUGAAAAAAGUCUUGUGCAAGUCUACACGAUUCAUGGAAAAAAAUAACAUGUCACUAAAAGAUUAAUGGUCCUGCUGGACACUACAGCUAGCUUCAGUCAGUUCACAUAUUUUGAAUUUAGCAAAUGAUUUGAACUGACUGAGCAAAAUGAAAAUGCUUUCUUCUCUAAGCAAAUUAAAGUAACUUUUGGAAACUUGAGUCCCUCUUUCCAAAUGAUAGUCUGACAGAGAGCGUCACGAAAAUGUGCCUACUGAUCGGUCUCAUUAUUGCAAAUCCAAUUUGCACAUUUUACAGUCUGGAUUCGUUAGAGUAGGUUUGAAAUAUUCCUGCCAGUUUUACACUAUAUGCACUCAUAGGCUUUAUGCAAUUUCCUUGGCUUCAUGCUGUUUUUAUUAGAUAAUCUGUUUACUAGUCCUCCUCCAAGUUCAACUUUCCUACAUGUUGCCACUAUCAGCUACAACAAUUGCAAAUACAGUUACCUGAUAAAAGAUAAUUCAUUCCUCUCUACUCCCUACAAAGUGUAUUUGGGAAAACAUAGGAGAUGCCAAUCAAUACCUUGGGAAAAAGGAACACGGUGUUUACUAAAGUGAUCGGCUUGAGGUAAACAGUGAGCUACAGUUUAAACUAGCUGUCAGCAGCUCAUUCCGAAAGGUAUAGUUGGUCUGACUGAAACUGAGAUUCAAAGUCCACAAGAAGAGUUCCCUGUCUAUGCCAACAUACAGACUGUUUUCUUGACACCAAUGUGUUGCUAUGCGUUGCCUCCUCAUCCUUCUAAUCAUAGAAUGGCCUGGGUUGAAAAGGACCUCAGAGAUCAUCUUGUUCCAACCCCCUGCUAUAUGCAGGGUCGCCAACCAGCAGACCAGGCUGCCCAGCGCCACAUCCAGCCUGGCCUUCAAUGCCUCCAGGGAUGGGGCAUCCACAGCCUCCUUGGGCAACCUGUUCAGUGCGUCACCACCCUCUGGGUGAAAAACUUCCUCCUAAUAUCUAACCUAAACCUGCCCUGUCUCAGUUUAAAACCAUUCUAAACCUGCCCUGUCUCAGUUUAAAACCAUUCCCCCUUUGUCCUAUUACUAUCCACCCUUGUAAACAGCCAUUCUCCCCCCCCCCCGUUUUUAUGCUCCCUUAUAUGCUCCUUUGUGUAUCAGAUAAAGCCACAGGAGAUAGGAACCCAGAAGGUGUGAUGUUACUGCACUCUCUGUUCUGUGUAUCACAAGCAGGGCAGUGUGCACUUACAACUGGAGCUCCCUGGAGAGCUGAAGUCUGCUUGAACUUUUCCAGUCAAUACAGUUAUAAGACAUUUCUUUGCUGUUGCCUUUUUGCACCCUCAGAAGGAGUUUUUGCUGUCUAACAGCUAGCCAGUUAUGGCAAUCAGCUUUAUCCUCUUUCUUCAGGUGCUGCCCUCCACUCACUCAUCUUCAACAAACAAACAAACAAAAACAUAAUGAAAUGAAGCAUAAAUGAAGGAAUCGAAGAGAAAUCUUCAUCUUGCUUGGUUUUGGCCAGUCCCAAGAACAGGUACAGUUAGUGCCAUGUCAGCUGUGAAACAGCAGUUGCUGUAGAUGAAAAUAUUUGGCAUGUGAUUGGCAUUUGUUUUGUCACAAUGCCUAGAGAUGGCAAGUUACAAAACAGAGCUGGAAGCAUUCUUUGUUCCUAUGCCCUUAUCUAAAUCAUUUAAAAGCCCCACGGUACUCCUCUUUUUAAACAGUUGUUAUUUAAACAGAGGAUCGUGUUUGUGCUCAGAUACACAUGUAGCUCAGCAAUAGGAAACAUCAAAUAGGAUUAAGAGGGCAGAGAUGGUAGAACUUUCAGUGUACGUAAAACACAUAGAUCAAGAUCCAUAUUCCUGUAGAUUUUAAUUGGAAGGAUAAUCACAUGUGCAAGCAUUUCUGAAAGUCGCCUUCAGGUGACAGAAAUGGCUCAAUUGUCCUCCUUACUCCAACCCUCAUCAGCCUGCCAAGUGCUCUUACUGAGCUGUAUGGGAUGGCAAGAGCAACCUAACUAAUCCUAGUGACAUUAUAAAGAAAACAGACACAAAAUACACUGAACUGGAAAGUCAGUGGAGAUAGAAGUACGGGAACAGCACAGUGUAAAGACAAAAAAUGAAAGAAAUGUAGUAAAGGAGGUUUGUUCUGAUGGUUAUAAUGAGAUUGUAUCUUCACAUUUUGUGGAUUUGGAAUGCAAGAAGUAUGUAAGUAAGAUUUUGCCAAGUUUAUUUUAAUGAAUUCUCCAUAUUAAUUGAUUAAAAUAAAUCAUGCUGUAGCUUCUUUAUUGGGCUGCCUCAGACUUAAUGAAAGCACAGCAAGAAAGGCUAUUACGCACUGUUGGUUUCUUCUGAAUUCUCCAGCAGUACAAAACAGUCAGGGAUAUUAAUCCAGACUAUAGGUUACAUUCUUACUCUACCUAAAAUAUAUCCUCCCUAUCAGAGACAGAGUUGAAGGCCAUGCCCCUAUUCCUUUAACGAGCUUUUGCUCAUUUUUGAAACUCCGAACUAAUCCAAUAACUCAGUUAAAUAUGGGAUGAGUUCCCACAGUUGACAGAAGAAACCAGUGCGACUUCUGAAGCAGUCAGACAAAUAUUUUAUCUCUCAUAACACAAGAUGGGGAAACCUGCCAACCCAAAGGAAAUGAUACUCCAGAUGGAGGGCCAAGUUUUUUAUGUUAACUUAUUCCUUAUUGUCAAUUUUUCUGCAUGAGGUUACUUGUAAUACUCCUUCAUUACUGCAGAGUUCUAUAUAGCGAGUCAUUGUUACUUUACUUUCUAGCUAGGACAGUAAACCCAUCCAUCUGUGUAAACUAAUCACUUAUUAACAACAGGACAAAAUGGCGAGCAAGAAAUACCAUGUCUCGUUUAGAGAAGAUGAUUAGUUAGGGAAGUAGCAGUUCGUAUGUUCUUCUGCAAGAAAGUCCAGUUGUUUUUAUGAAACUGUAAACCUUGUUUCUCUUAAUUAUUUUCAGCAGAGCAAAAAAGGGAGCGAGUUUUGCUGCUCUGUACAGCUUAGUGGGCCAGUAAAUUCACUCAUUCAUUACUGUUCCUUCACGUGCAGCAGUCUACAUAGAAUUGCACGACUUGGCAGCAUCCCCAAUAAGAACUCUUCAAACUUAACUUCCUUGUGACCGUAAAAGCUAUGUCAAGUUACACACUGGAACACGUAUUGUUUUGGCGUGAUCAUAAACGUGCUAGCUCUUACCCAGUCAUAACGAGUCACAGAAAACAGAGCCCUUAAACCUUCUCCUGCCAUUUGUCUGCUUUUAGGCAUUCUAAGUUCCAAACUUUUUAAUUCAUAAGGACCACCUCUCCUGCAGGAGGUGUACCAUCCUCUCCUGUAUCUGGGUGGAGCAAGAAGCCACCUGCUUCUUGACCUGCACAGACAGCAUUGUUAUCCUAUUACUGCUCAAAUCGUUUCAGAGAGUUACUGGAAAUCAUUCAGCACUGUCAUUCUUGGGUUCCAGUUCAUUCUCUUGGGGAUGCAAAUAACAGAUUUCAUACAGCUUAUAUUAAAAUAUGUUUUUUACUAACUCACAACAUCACUCUCAACUCCACCUCUGGUUCUUAAUGCUUCAUCAAAUGUGAAACUUUUUUAGGCCAAUUUCUGCUCUGAGUUAUACUUGCACAAACCUUUUUGUUCAAAAUGUCUUAAUAAGAACUUUACUUCCCAGAUAGCCUUUACAAGUUUAGGAGUUUGUCACAUGUGAUGUCACGAGCAGAGUAAAUGCUGCUCUGUGAAAUGGAGAGCCCAAGGCAAAGCUGUGAGGCUCUCUGGAAGAAAAAAGCCGAGCACAUUUACAUGAAAUGAGUGUGAAAAUUGAAAUCCUGUAUCUCAGGUGUUACCAUUAAGGUUAUUUUACAGAAAAAAAAAAAAAAUGUGGUUUAAAAGUGUAUUAAGAAAAUCUUUUCCGUACAACAAGUAAUAGAAAAACAGGGUAUGAAAUACAAACAAUGCAAAAUCUUUGGAACAGUAAAUGUCCAAAUUUUCCGGUGGAUGUGGACAGAACGCACACCAAUAGCACAGCAGUAAGGAGAUGUGCCAGUUAGAACCAACCUGCCAGAGACACUGCUGUCAUGAGUGAAGACUGAUUUAUAGUUCAGCUUCUAAAAAAUGAAGGAGAUUAAAUGCCAGUUACUGUUAUGCAAAAAUAAAUUACUUUCUGAAACAGCACUAAAAUCCUAUUGCUAUGAAUCAGCCUUACUAAUCUUGGUUUUUAACAUAAACAUGAAUUAAAACUUUGAACUUCUUUUUUUUUUUUUUAAGAAGUCAAAGAACAAACAUAAAGGAAGAAGAAAAGGGUGAAUAAUAAUUCACAUCCUUAAAGACAUUUCUGAAACAUGCCUUUUACAACUAGUCAAAGAGCAAUUCAAGCUAUGAAAACUGCAGCAGAUGUUAGGCAGGAAAAGAACAGCAUACUGCCGAGUCUGGGUAAAAUGAUACAUCACCUAGCUAACAGAAAGAAGCAGAACCAAGUAGUUGUUUGUAACACACAUAAGGAGAGGGAGGUUCAUUUCUUUGGCUCGACAACAGAGUCCACUAUAGACAACUAAUGCAAAUGUGGUCCCUGUUUCACAUCUAAUAAAGGACCUUCUUCCUAUGUAUUCUCAGCCUAGUGAUGUAUGUUGCCCUGUGAUUUGGUUUGCACUAGCAAGAACUGGACACCAGGAUCUUGGUUCAGCCCUAUUCAGGCCUCAGUCCCAGUGAGGAGAAAGCAGGGAGGAAGGCGUGCGUUCCUUGUGCAGCCGAGGUCAGAGGGCACCUGCAGAGCCGCGCUGCGCGGGAAGCGGAGCUUUGUGACGGGCAGCUGAACCCGCGGGCUGCAGACGGCGUCCUUCGUACGGCUGACCGCAGACGUGUAACCGAGGGACGGCCGUGCGCGGCCCCACCGAACGUCUCCGCGCUUCACAACGGCUCCCGCCGUACCCCGUCCAGCUGCCGCUUUUGAACCCUGCUCGUCUGAGUCACUCACGUCGCCGAGAUGCGCGCACUCCGACCCGCCGGCCCCGAUCCGACCCACCCACCGCCUUCACCUCCUGCAGCUGCCUGCCAGAUGUCCGCGCUGACCGCAGAUGGCCGAGGGGCUGCGAGAGUCCCCGGAGAGCAGCGCUGAGGGCUCCCGGCCCGGCUGCGGCCCGCCCGCCCGCCUGCGUGUGGGACCCCGCGCCCACCGGCCUCGUGCCGAACAAAGCGCGGAGCUGCGCGCCCUGCGCCUGCGGCACCGCUCCCACACCGCUCCCACACCGCCACAACGCUGCCGUGGCACCGCCACCACACCGCUGCAAAGCUGCCACAACACCGCCACGGCACCACGGGCGCAGACAGCGGCGGGAGGGCUCGGGGCCGCCUGAGGCGCGGCGGGGGAGCGCCGCGGUGAGGCGGGAGGGGCUUCCAGCGCGGGAAAGCUGCCCUCAGGCGGAGCCGGGCUGCGGGGGAAGCUGAGGCGAUCCCCCGGCCGCGCUCCGCGACAAACCCUCCCGGCUCGGCCCUGUCACGGCGCGGCUCCGCCCCGCCACCCUCGG
ensembl:lncRNA